rnacentral:rRNA from 1 species
UUCGCCGCCCGCGACUCUGCGAGAAGUCCAUUGAACCUUAUCAUUUAGAGGAAGGAGAAGUCGUAACAAGGUUUCCGUAGGUGAACCUGCGGAAGGAUCAUUGUCGAGACCGAAAUAUAUAUAUAUCGAGCGAUUCGGAGAACUCGUGAAUGUGCGGCGGCAUUCGGCGUCGCGGAACAGCCGUCUCGAUCCUGGCCUCAUCUUCAUCGGGGGGGGCCACGGUGAGGGGCGGAUGAAAAACUCAAACCGGCGCAGUUACGCGCCAAGGAAAAUAUCGAAAAACAUGAGCCCUGUAUCGGGUUUUAUGGCAUGGGGUGUUGUUGCACGCCAUGUGGUUGACAUGACUCUCGGCAAUGGAUAUCUCGGCUCUCGCAUCGAUGAAGAGCGCAGCGAAAUGCGAUACGUGGUGCGAAUUGCAGAAUCCCGCGAACCAUCGAGAAUUUGAACGCAAGUUGCGCCCGAGGCCAGCCGGCCGAGGGCACGUCCGCCUGGGCGUCAAGCGUUGCGUCGCUCCGUGCCAACUCCAGCACACCCAACGGGUGCGUCGGUCGAGGCUCGGAUGUGUAGAGUGGCCCGUCGCGCCCGUCGGUGCGCCGGGCUGAAGAUUGGGUCAUCGUCUCAUCGGCCAUGAACAGCAAGGGGUGGAUGAAAGUUGUGCCUGUGCUGCGUCGUGCCGGAUCGAGAAGAGAUUAUGCCUUUGAGGUGAUCCCAACCCAUGCGCCGAUCCCAAGGGGCGGCGGCUUGGAAUGCGACCCCAGGAUGGGCGAGGCCACCCGCCGAGUUUAAGCAUAUCAAUAAGCGGAGGAGAAGAAACU